AGGUACCUCGGGAUGAGACCAGAGGAGGGCUCCUUCAAACAGAAAUGAAAAUGCAAUACAUGCUGGCGAAAGCCGUAUGGAUACAACUCUCUUAGGAGGUUAGGAAGAUGUCAUCUCGAAUGUGAUAGGGAACACGGAAAUGGAGUAGCAGAGGAGAUGAGGUUGAAUGUAUUACACACUAUCUAAGGCUCUAAGUGCCCGUUAUUAGUCCUUUUCCUUUUAUUGUUAUGUUAAUAUGAGAUGGAGACUACUUGUUAGCUUGCUUUGGUAAGAGGUCACAAAUGUUUCUCGGAAGAUGUGUUUUUUUUCUUUUUCUUGACAUUUUAUUUUACAAAUUUUGGACAAAUGUGUGAUGCAAAGAUGUUCCCUUUCAGUGUAAAGUUUAUGGUUUAGUUUCUAGAAAA